rnacentral:rRNA from 1 species
AACGAACGCUGGCGGCGUGCCUAACACAUGCAAGUCGUGCGGGAAAGUGGGGGCAACUCCACAAGUACAGCGGCGCACGGGUGAGUAACACGUAGGUAACCUACCUUUAAGACUGGGAUAACCUGUCGAAAGACGGGCUAAUACUAGAUAAGACUACGAGAGCCUCGGCUCUCGUGAGAAAAAGUGGCCUCUGCAUGCAAGCUACCACUUAGAGAUGGGCCUGCGCGCCAUUAGCUAGUUGGUGAGGUAACGGCUCACCAAGGCAAAGAUGGCAGGCGGGUCUGAGAGGAUGAUGAGCCACACUGGGACUGGGACACGGCCCAGACUCCUACGGGAGGCAGCAGUGGGGAAUAUUGCGCAAUGGGCGAAAGCCUGACGCAGCGACGCCGCGUGGGGGAUGAAGCUUCUCGGAGUGUAAACCCCUUUCGACCCGGACGAAAAAUCCCGCAAGGGAUCUGACGGUACGGGUAUAAGAAGCCCCGGCUAACUACGUGCCAGCCGCCGCGGUAACAC